rnacentral:rRNA from 1 species
UACGAACUGUGCAAACGUUAUUCGGAAUCACUGGGCUUAAAGGGUGCGUAGGCGGCUGUCUAAGUAGGGUGUGAAAGCCCCCGGCUCAACCCGGGGAAUUGCGCCCUAAACUGGAUGGCUGGAGUGAGGCAGGGGUGUGUGGAACUUCCGGUGGAGCGGUGAAAUGUGUUGAUAUCGGAAGGAACGCCGGUGGCGAAAGCGACACACUGGGUCUCAACUGACGCUGGAGGCACGAAAGCCAGGGGAGCAAACGGG